GGUCCAAGUCCCUCUAUCCCCA
rnacentral:tRNA from 1 species